rnacentral:rRNA from 1 species
GACGAACGCUGGCGGCGUGCUUAACACAUGCAAGUCGAACGGUGAAGGGAUCAGCUUGCUGGUUCUGGAUGAGUGGCGAACGGGUGAGUAACACGUGAGUAACCUGCCCCCUUCUUCUGGAUAACCGCAUGAAAGUGUGGCUAAUACGGGAUAUUCUGGGUCUGUCGCAUGAUGGGUCUGGGAAAGAUAUUGUUUCGGUGGGGGAUGGGCUCGCGGCCUAUCAGCUUGUUGGUGGGGUGAUGGCCUACCAAGGCGGUGACGGGUAGCCGGCCUGAGAGGGUGGACGGUCACACUGGGACUGGGACACGGCCCAGACUCCUACGGGAGGCAGCAGUGGGGAAUAUUGAACAAUGGGCGCAAGCCUGAUGCAGCGACGCCGCGUGAGGGAUGGAGGCCUUCGGGUUGUAAACCUCUUUCGCCAGUGAAGCAGGCCUGCUCCUUGUGGGUGGGUUGACGGUAGCUGGAUAAGAAGCGCCGGCUAACUACGUG